CAACCUAAAGUUCAUUGUAGAGUUAAUUUUGAUAUAAAACAUUUCCAAAAAUAACCUCUCACUGUAAUUAGUUGCGUUAUCAACAAUCUCCACCUCGUUUUAAAAUUCAUUACAUGAUCCAGCUGAUUGCGUAUUGUUAAUGCACAGCCAAUUAGACGUUUGCCCUAUGUAACACAAUUCACAAUUUCGACAUGGGAUGGAAUAAAUUAAACACUUAAGUUCUUUUGGAAUCUAUCCUUCAUUUUUGAAAAUAAGUUAUUGACAGUUUAGGGGGUUGUAGAAUGCAAUUUUUAGUGAUUCCUUAUUUUUAUAAAGUGUCUUUAUGUUAUCGCUCUUAAUUUUAAUACCUAAAUAUAUUUCGUGUCCUGAUGAAGUGACUAACCAGUCAUGAAAUUUUGACUUUGAAGUAAACUAAUGUAACCUGCAUGAGUGUCUGGAAGCCGAUACCCAAUAAUUUAACUAAUGUGUAGUAAAUCUAACGGCAAGUACUCCUUGUGGUGAUAUUGCAGUCAAUGGUACAUCGCCAAGAAGGCAAUCUAAGAUUUUUACAACUCACUUAUGGCCGUUUGCACCGACAAAUUUAAGCGAAACUUAGCUUGUGGGCGAGCUUAACAUCCAUGGCAACGAUUAUUGCGAUAAUGGAAACGUCAGCAAAGUACGGAUGGAACCAUGGGCUUUUCGAUCUCGUCUCCGUUGUAAGGUCUGAAAAGUGAAAUGCCAAAUCAACCAACUGAUGAGUAUUCAUUUAGGAAUAUUUUUUAUGAAAUUCUCCAUUAUUGAAACGUUAUGUUCAGAAUUGUAAGUAAAUCGAAUUUUGUUAUAAACGUUUAUUUUUAGAUUUUCUGUGGCGAUCGAUUUCGGCGAAUUGCCAUCAUCAGACCCUUAAUUAAAAAUAUCCAAAAAGGAAACAAAAAAGUAAUCGUAAACGAUUUACAAAAAGUGCGUAUCAUUUUCCCAUUUGUAAGAUCCGGCCACAAGUAAGAAAGUUUGCGUUUGACCUGCUACUUCAAUUUCAGUUUAUAAGAAGAAUCAUACCCUAACAUUUCAGAAAGAUUGGUUCACAAAUAACAAAUGGGGUUUUUUUUAGUCGGAUCGGAUUGCGCAUGCGAAAAACAAAUUUUUUAAUUCGACAAUAGUUUUACUUUCAUUCGAAUUCACAUCUGCCCACAUACAAAAUUUCAUUUAAGUAUUUUAACAAAUAAAAAAGAUACGACUGGCGAUUGCACAGAUACAAGUUAUCGUGCACACGGAGAGACAGAUGGACGGACAGACUAACAACAAUACAAUCAACGGCAAAAGUGUAAAAUUAUGGUACAUUGAUAUUGCAUUAUAUGAAAUAGACUGAUUUUUUAGCAUAACUUUUUUCAUAAGCGGCACAAAAAAAUUCCUGCCUUGGUGCAAACUUCGACGCCAUAACACAAUACAGGGUAUUUCAAAAUUCGCGCACAUUCCAAAAGUAACUCAACAGCAACUUUUUUUGAUCUCAUUGUAGUUAUUAAUAAUGGCGUGAUUUUCUUUCGGUUUUUUUGGAGCAUCCUGUAUACGUUCAAAUGGUAAAAGUCAUGGGAAGGUCAUCUAACAAAAGCUAAACGUUUUUUUCAACUUGCAUUUAUCAUACAGUUAAUUACUUAUACAACACCGAAUGAUCAUUAUUUACUUUUUAUUGAGAUUUGACGAUUUGAGAUAAUUCAACCCUAAAGAACUAUUUUUCCUUGUAUCAGUUUCAACAACUUGUUGACAGCCGAUAUAAAAUUUAACAAACACUGAUCAUAGAAGAAAGACCGAAAUGAUUGAAGGAAUUGUAAGGAAAAAUAUCAAAGGCGAUUCCGAUAGGUGCAUUCGAUCAAGUCUGAAGCUGGAGAGGGCCAUCGUGUCAUAUAUCAUGAACAUGAAACGAGACUAUGAACACAACCAUUUUCUCUUUGCUUUAUCUUCGUAUGGUUUGAUCUUUGUUUAUAAAAAGUGCAAGUGUAGAAAAGCAAAUCACAAUGUGAAUGUAAUAAAAAUGUGCUUCGUCAAAGGAGAUUGGACACCGAAAGACAAAGCGGUAGAGUUUUGAACUACACCUUAAGGCAUUUUUUGUAAAUUUCGUACUUGGAAGUAAAAAAAUGUGAAAAUGUGGGACACAUAUUUAACAAGGCUUGAAAACCUGAUGCAGAUCUCAACCUCCAUUUUCAGAUGAAUUGGAGUCCGACAUGCCAUGUCCCAAUCGCAGCACCCACCGCAAGACCCUCAUCAUUCUAACUUAUUAAAAGGCAACUUGUAAGAUUAAAAAUGAGUGACCGUCAAGUCACCUUUGGAAUUUUUGUUUACGUAGGAAAUCGUACUUAACACAAACUUUCCAAGGCGAGUACUCGACAGUCACUCAUUUUUGAUCGCACGAUAAGUUCAAUAUACUUUAAAACGUGGUGUUUGAUUAGAAGGCAUCAAUACUCGCUACUUGGCGAAUACACAAUUAUUUGCGUACUUGGGAAGUAUACGAACAUUGCGAGCGUAAACAUUUGUGGCUGCCAUUAUGGAUAGCGAUCGUCCGGAGUAUUUAGUUGCUAAAAGAACAAACAAAAAAAUGUCUGUACGCUUCUGGUAGUCUUUGAAAACUAAAUGAAUAGUCGCACUAAAGGCAAAUUAUUUGUGCAUUUUGUUUGAGCACCUCUACAAGUAUGUACGAAUGAUCGUGAUCCCUUUGACUCGGACCAUUUUUACCGACCAGAAAUGCAAAACUAACUAAGCAGGUACAAGUAACCUACUCACACGACAUGCCAAGUAUACGCACGUAACGAUUAUUCGCCAAGUACACGAGUCAUCUGAGCCCGGCUUCGGAUGGUAUCCCAAGCAUUACGUUAACAACUACGAUGGAAGUUUUGAAAGUCGCAACACUUACCCCAAAUCAACAUACUCAUGACAUCUUAGGCGUCUUGAUUCCAAACACUAAAAACUAUCACAGUACGUUAUCUUUUAAACCCGUUAAGGAAGGCAAAAAAACAAGAUUCAAAAUGGGACGCCAUUUUCUUCUUGCGGUUAUCUUUAUAAAGCACCAUCAAAACGACCGAAGUACUAAGAAUUCCUUGCAGGUUAUUAUUAAUUUAAAAGUUGAAUUUAAUAAAGCGAAAUACGAAAACGCGAUCCGCGUACCGUGAUGCAAGCACGCAAACGCCGAUUUGAAUUCAAACGAAGGGACGCCAUAAUUUCGUAAUUUAAGAUUUCGUUUAAAUUUUUCACUCGCAGGCUUAAACGCCGGUUUAUUAAACGAUGCAUCGAAACGAAAGAGGAAGCAAAAUUUUUCGCGUGUUUAUAGUAUCACUUUUUUAAAGUUUAUUCAAUGGUUUAUUUUAAUAUCGGUCUUCACAAAUUCAACGAACACGUAAAAACUAAGCGGUGGCGUUGGAAGCUUGGAUGUACAACGAAAAAGUGGAUCACGUGACACGAACUGUGACGUCACAACUACUACGUUAGUCCAUAUACGUAUUGUUUGGUCUAUUUCGAUGCCGAUUACAAAAAAUGAGCCAAUCGGGGCGUCCCGUUUAAAACAAAUAAAAAUAAAUAACAAAACACGAAGGAUAAUUGAAACGUUAUGUUCAGAAUGGUAAAUAAAUCGAAUUUUGUUAUAAACGUUUAUUUUUAAAUUUUGUGUGGCGAUCGAUUGCGGCGAAUUGCCAUCACCAGGCCUAGCGUCAAUUACACUUUAAAUACAAUCUUGCUACUUGUAUGUCAUUUAUAAAUAUUCCAAAUCCAUAAGUAACACGCACUUCAUGUUAAAUUCCAAAAACGCUGCCUCUUAAACAAUUUUUCGCUAGGUCUGAUGAUGGCAAUUCGCCGAAAUCGAUCGCCAUAGAAAAUCUAAAAAUAAACGUUAUAACAAAAUUCGACUUAUUUACGAUUUGUCCAGGAAGUCUCCUAAAUUUUGGCAUGUGAGACCCUGAAUUAAAAAUAGCCAAAAAGGAAACAAAGUAAAAAAGUAAUCGUAAACGAUUUACAAAAAGCGCGUAUCAUUUUCCCAUUUAUAAGAUUCGGCCACAAGUAAGAAAGUUUGCGUUACACAUGUGCAUUCCAUUUUUGACCUGCUAUAUCAAUUUCAGUUUAUAAGAAGAAUCAUACCCUAACAUUUCAGAAAGAUUGCUUCACAAAUAACAAAUGGGGGUCUACAUCUGCCCACAUACAAAAUUUCAUUUAAGUAUUUUAACAAAUAAAAAAGAUACGAUUGUCGAUUGCACAGAUACAAGUUAUCGUGCACACGGAGAGACAGAUGGACGGACAGACUAAGGGCAAUACAAUACAAUCAACGGCAAAAGUGUAAAAUUAUGGUACAUAUUGCAUUAUAUGAAAUAGACUGAUUUUUUAGCAUAACUUUUCGUAAGCGGCACAAAAAAAAUUCCUGCCUUGGUGCAAACUUCCGACACCAUAACACACACAGGGUAUUUCGAAAUUCGCGCACACGGACUAUGAGAUGGUGUUAUACGACAAAGACUGAACAAAAAGCUCUACUUCAAAUGAGCAUUCCCCUUAUACGGUACGCAACGGGCGAUCAAAAAAGAAUUGACGUCGGGUCGUCUUUGGAAGUUCAAGUUCGAUAUGAUUUCACAUGUAAACAAAAAUUCCAAAAGUAACUCGACAGCAACUCUUUUUUGAUCGCAUUGUAGUUAUUUUCUUUCGGUUUUUUUAAGCAUCCUGUAUACCAUUCAAUGGUAAAAGUCAUGGGAAGGUCAUUUAACAAAAGCUAAACGUUUUCUUCAACUUGCAGUUUAUCAUACAGUUAAUUACUUAUACAACACCGAUAUGAUCCUUAAGGAUAUGAUCAAUGAUCAUUGUUUACUUUGUAUUGAGAUUUGACGAUUUGAGAUAAUUCAACCCUAAAGAACUCUUUUUCCUUGUAUUAGUUUCAACAACUUGUUGACAGCUGAUAUAAAAUUUAACAAACACUGAUCAUGGAAGAAGGACCGAAAUGAUUGAAGGAAUUGUAAGGGAAAAUGUCAAAGGCGAUUCGAUAGGUACAUUCGAUCAAGUCUGAAGCUGGAGAGGGCCAUCAUGUCGUAUUUGAUUUGUGUAACCAUGAACAUGAAACGAGACUGAACACAACCAUCGUCUCUUUGCUUUAUCUUCCUAUGGUUUGAAUUUUGAUCUUUGUUUUUAAAGGAAAAUUUGUAAAAAGUGCAAGUGUAGAAGAGCAGUUUUAGUUCCUCAGCAGCAAACUGAAUGAAAGUAAUAAAAAUGGGCUUCGUCAAACGAGAUUUGACACCGAAAGACAAAGCAAUUUUGUACUUGGAAGUAAAAAAAUGUGAAAAUGUAGGACACAUAUUUAACAGGGCUUGAAAAGCUGCUGGAGAGAAUCUUAACCUCCAUUCUCAGAUGAAUUGGAGUCCAACGCCAUGUCACAAUUGCAGCACCCACUACAAGGCCCUCAUCAUUCUAACUUAUUAAAAGGCAACUUGUCAAGAUUAAAAAUGAGUGACCGUCGAGUCACCUUUGGAAUUUUUGUUUACGUAGGAAAUCGUACUUAACACAAACUAACCAAGGCGAGUACUAGACAGUCACUCAUUUUUUGAUCGCACGAUAUGCCACAUAUUGUUUUAGGUUUUUACUGAUUAAAAUGUAAAUAAUCUUCAAUAUACUUUAAAACGUGUUGUUUGAUUAGAAGGCAUCGAUACUCAAGCCGGGGUCAGACCACUCGUGUACCUACUUGGCGAAUACAAAAUUAUUUGCGUACUUAGGAAGUAUACAAUUAGCUUUGCGAGCGUGAACAUUUGUGGCUGCCAUUAUGGAUAGCGAUCGUCCUGAGAAUUUAGUUGCUAAAAGAACAAACAAAAAAAUGUCUCUAUGCUUCUGGUAGUCUUUGAAAACUAAAUGAAUAGUGCACUAAAGGCAAAUUACUUGUGCAUUUCGUUUGAGCGCCUCUACAAGUAUAGACAAGUAUGUACGAAUGAUCGUGAUCCCUUUGGCUUUGACCAUUUUUACCGACCAGAAAUGCAAAACUAACGAAGCAGGUACAAGUAACCUACUCACACGACAUGCCAAGUAUACGCAAGUAACGAUUAUUCGCCAAGUACACGAGUCGUCUGAGCCCGGCUUCGGAUGGUAUCCCAAGCAUUACGUUAACAACUAUACGAUGGAAGUUUUGAAAGUCACAACACUUACCCCAAAUCAACAUACUCAUGACAUCUUAGGCGUCUUGAUUCCAAACACUAAAAACUAUCACAGUACGUUAUCUUUUAAACCCGUUAAGGAAGGCAAAAAAACAAGAUUCAAAAUGGGACGCCAUUUUCUUCUUGCGGUUAUCUUUAUAAAGAGCCAUCAAAACGACCGAAGUACUAAGAAUUCCUUGCAGGUUAUUAUUAAUUUAAAGGUUGAAUUUAAUAACGCGAAAGCGAAAUACGAAAACGCGAUCCGCGUACCGUGAUGCAAGCACGCAAACGCCGAUUUGAAUUCAAACGAAGGGACGCCAUAAUUUCGUAAUUUAAGACUUCGUUUAAAUUUUUCACUCGCAGGCUUAAACGCCGGUUUAUUAAACGAUGCAUCGAAACGAAAGAGGAAGCAAAAUUUUUCGCGUGUUUAUAGUAUCACUUUUUUAAAGUUUAUUCAAUGGUUUAUUUUAAUAUCGGUCUUCACAAAUUCAACGAACACGUAAAAACUAAGCGGACGCGUUGGAAGCUUGGAUGUACAACGAAAAAGUGGAUCACGUGACACGAACUGUGACGUCACAACCACUACUUUAGUCAAUAUACGUUGAUUGGUCUAUUUCCAAUGAAUAAAGAAUACCCUUUAUUCAUUGUCUAUUACUCUAUUUCGAUGCCGAUUACAAAAAAUGGGCCAAUCGGGGCGUCCCGGUUAAAACAAAUAAAAAUAAAUAAAAAACACGAAGGAUAAUUGCCGUAAAUUCAUUUACGAUUUACGAAGGCGUAGAGGAGAGGACGCGUAGGUUUUAUCUUGCAUUCACCUCGAAGUUUAAAUUCGAAUUCAAAAGUUAAAGGGUGCAUUUAGAAGGCCUGCGUUCCCUCAACUCUUCAUUAACACUCUUAAGCUUGUAUGAAAGGCCUUCUAAAACUGAAAAGCGUUUCAGCUUUCCAGGUCAUUACAGUGCCUUCCAACAAGCCCCUUAAAAUCGCUUCCAUGGAUUUAUUACCCUAUAGCUAUAACUUUAAAAGUAGGUACUUUAUACAUG